rnacentral:rRNA from 1 species
AACAGGAUUAGAUACCCUGGUAGUCCACGCCCUAAACGAUGUCUACUAGUUGUCGGGUCUUAAUUGACUUGGUAACGCAGCUAACGCGUGAAGUAGACCGCCUGGGGAGUACGGUCGCAAGAUUAAAACUCAAAGGAAUUGACGGGGACCCGCACAAGCGGUGGAUGAUGUGGAUUAAUUCGAUGCAACGCGAAAAACCUUACCUACCCUUGACAUGGCUGGAAUCCUUGAGAGAUCAGGGAGUGCCCGAAAGAGAACCAGUACACAGGUGCUGCAUGGCUGUCGUCAGCUCGUGUCGUGAGAUGUUGGGUUAAGUCCCGCAACGAGCGCAACCCUUGUCAUUAGUUGCUACGAAAGGGCACUCUAAUGAGACUGCCGGUGACAAACCGGAGGAAGGUGGGGAUGACGUCAAGUCCUCAUGGCCCUUAUGGGUAGGGCUUCACACGUCAUACAAUGGUACAUACAGAGCGCCGCCAACCCGCGAGGGGGAGCUAAUCGCAGAAAGUGUAUCGUAGUCCGGAUUGUAGUCUGCAACUCGACUGCAUGAAGUUGGAAUCGCUAGUAAUCGCGGAUCAGCAUGUCGCGGUGAAUACGUUCCCGGGUCUUGUACACACCGCCCGUCACACCAUGGGAGCGGGUUUUACCAGAAGUAGGUAGCUUAACCGUAAGGAGGGCGCUUACCACGGUAGGAUUCGUGACUGGGGUGAAGUCGUAACAAGGUAACC